rnacentral:tRNA from 1 species
CGCCCUCGUAGUAUAACCUGGAUAGUACGCAAGCUUGCGGAGCUUGAUAUCCGAGUUCAAAUCUUGGCGAGGGCGAC